rnacentral:rRNA from 1 species
CUAGCGGCAGGCCUAACACAUGCAAGUCGAACGGUAAGGUCUCUUCGGAGAUACACGAGUGGCGCACGGGUGAGUAACGCGUAUGCAACCUACCUUUAACAGGGGUAUAGCUUUCGGAAACGGAAAUUAAUCCCCCAUAGUACUUAGAUAUCGCAUGGUAUUUGAGUUAAAGCUUCGGCGGUUAAAGAUGGGCAUGCGUGGCAUUAGAUAGUUGGUGAGGUAACGGCUCACCAAGUCAGCGAUGCCUAGGGGGUCUGAGAGGAUGGUCCCCCACACUGGUACUGAGACACGGACCAGACUCCUACGGGAGGCAGCAGUGAGGAAUAUUGGGCAAUGGACGCAAGUCUGACCCAGCCAUGCCGCGUGCAGGAUGACGGCCCUAUGGGUUGUAAACUGCUUUUUUACGGGAAGAAUAGGCACUACGUGUAGUGAUUUGACGGUACCGUACGAAUAAGCACCGGCUAACUCCGUGCCAGCAGCCGCGGUAAUACGGAGGGUGCAGGCGUUAUCCGGAUUUAUUGGGUUUAAAGGGUGCGUAGGCGGGCCAAUAAGUCAGUGGUGAAAUCUCAUGGCUCAACCAUGAAAUUGCCAUUGAAACUGUAGGUCUUGAGUAUAGUUGAGGUAGGCGGAAUGUGUCAUGUAGCGGUGAAAUGCUUAGAUAUGACCCAGAACUCCGAUUGCGUAGGCAGCUUACUAAACUAUUACUGACGCUGAUGCACGAAAGCGUGGGUAGCGAACAGGAUUAGAUACCCUGGUAGUCCACGCCGUAAACGAUGAUUACUCGCUGUGUGCGAUAUAUUGUACGCGGCUGAGCGAAAGCAUUAAGUAAUCCACCUGGGGAGUACGGUCGCAAGAUUGAAACUCAAAGGAAUUGACGGGGGCCCGCACAAGCGGAGGAACAUGUGGUUUAAUUCGAUGAUACGCGAGGAACCUUACCUGGGCUUAAAUGUAGAGUGCUUUUCACCGAAAGGUGAUUUUCCUUCGGGACGCUUUACAAGGUGCUGCAUGGUUGUCGUCAGCUCGUGCCGUGAGGUGUCGGGUUAAGUCCCAUAACGAGCGCAACCCCUAUCGUUAGUUGCCAUCGGGUCAUGCCGGGGACUCUAACGAGACUGCCAGUGUAAACUGUGAGGAAGGUGGGGAUGACGUCAAAUCAGCACGGCCCUUAUGCCCAGGGCUACACACGUGUUACAAUGGCCGGUACAGAGGGCAGCUACACAGCGAUGUGAUGCCAAUCCCCAAAGCCGGUCUCAGUUCGGAUCGGAGUCUGCAACUCGACUCCGUGAAGUUGGAUUCGCUAGUAAUCGUAUAUCAGCAAUGAUACGGUGAAUACGUUCCCGGGCCUUGUACACACCGCCCGUCAAGCCAUGGAAGCUGGGGGUACCUGAAGUCUGUAACCGUAAGGAGCGUCCUAG